CUACCACUGAAGAGUCCCACAAUAGGACGAAACGGCCGUCCAAUGC
rnacentral:hammerhead_ribozyme from 1 species